UACGUAGGGUGCGAGCGUUAAUCGGAAUUACUGGGCGUAAAGCGUGCGCAGGCGGUUUUUUAAGCCAGGGGUGAAAUCCCCGGGCUCAACCUGGGAAUGGCAUUUGGGACUGCAAGGCUGGAGUGCGGCAGAGGAGACUGGAAUUCCUGGUGUAGCAGUGAAAUGCGUAGAUAUCAGGAGGAAUACCGAUGGCGAAGGCAGGUCUCUGGGCUGACACUGACGCUCAUGCACGAAAGCGUGGGGAGCAAACAGG
rnacentral:rRNA from 1 species